GGAAAUGUGCCCGAGACCAGGGACUACCUUGAUAGCGUAGCAACGGGUGAAACAACCCCAUUUCCU
rnacentral:tRNA from 1 species